CUUUAGUAAAUUAUCUUUGUCGUUGAUUAUUUUUUUAAUUAAUAUAAUAUGUGUAUAUAUGUAUAUACUAUACAUAUAUAGUACAAAAUUAUAUAUUUAUAAGAUGAAUGCCGAAUGUAUAAAAUCUAAUAUUUUAUUGAUAAACAAAUAGUUGAAUAAUGAUAAUUUUAUAAGAUUUAAAAAACUAAAAUCCAAUUUGAUAGAAUAAAAAUUGACUAUAUAAAAACGUACAAUCUUGAUAAAAAAUUUCAAGAAAUGGUCGAAAUCAAAUGUAUAACAAAUGUAAUGUUAAUAAUUAAAUUACAAUUGAUUUUCAAUUACCGUGCAACACUAAUACGAUAAAUAUACAUGUAUAUAUACAUGUAGAUAAUAUCGAAUUAUAUUAUAGAUAAUAUCAUGUUAAGAGAAUUUUCAAACAACGAGUUAUUGUCAAACGUUAAAAAAAUAUAUUAUAAGUAUGACAAAUAUCGACUUCAAUCGAUGUUCAAUCUACGUAUAAUAUUUGCUUGUAACCUUGCAAUAUGUUCUUUAUAGCAAAAAUUUAUUAAUAGUACAUUUUUGUAUUUUUUUCAUUCAUAGAUUUAAUAUAAGAUUAAAUAUAUAGUUCUUGUAUUUGAAAAAAAAUUUUAUAUAAAAUAUUCCAAAAAUUGGAAAGAUAAGAAACAACAAGGAAUAAUUUCUAUUGGUUCUACCUGACCUUGACACAUCAAUGACGUCACAAAAGUCAGUUAUUGUUAUACAUUAUUGUUUCCAAGGAUCAGCAAUAUCAUAAUAAUAGUAAUAUAACUUGUAAAAAUAAUAAAAGUAAAAUUUUAUGCAUAUCAUUUCAUGAAACAUGUGACAAUGUGAUUAUUGUGGUUUAGCUAAUGAUUCAUUAUAUAUUUUAUACUUCUCUUUUCUUCUCAUAAGCAAAUAAUUAAAACAUUCUUUUCAUUUUUAAUUUAAUCAAUAAACUAUAUAUAUUAUUUCAUUUUA